AUUGAACGCUGGCGGCAUGCCUUACACAUGCAAGUCGAACGGUAACAGGUCUUCGGAUGCUGACGAGUGGCGAACGGGUGAGUAAUACAUCGGAACGUGCCUAGUAGUGGGGGAUAACUACUCGAAAGAGUGGCUAAUACCGCAUGAGAUCUACGGAUGAAAGCAGGGGAUCGCAAGACCUUGUGCUACUAGAGCGGCCGAUGGCAGAUUAGGUAGUUGGUGGGAUAAAAGCUUACCAAGCCGACGAUCUGUAGCUGGUCUGAGAGGACGAUCAGCCACACUGGACUGCGAAACGGCCCAGACUCCUACGGGAGGCAGCAGUGGGGAAUUUUGGACAAUGGGAGCAAGCCUGAUCCAGCAAUGCCGCGUGCAGGAUGAAGGCCUUCGGGUUGUAAACUGCUUUUGUACGGAACGAAAAGCCCCGGGUUAAUACCCUGGGGUCAUGACGGUACCGUAAGAAUAAGCACCGGCUAACUACGUGCCAGCCGCCGCGGUAA
rnacentral:rRNA from 1 species